GGCUACAGGACGAACGGCUGGCGGCGUGCCUAACACAUGCAAGUCGAGCGAUGAAAUCCUUCGGGAUGGAUUAGCGGCGGACGGGUGAGUAACACGUGGGUAACCUGCCUUGUAGAGGGGGAUAGCCUUCCGAAAGGAAGAUUAAUACCGCAUAACAUCUUUUUUAUCGCAUGGUAGAAAGAUCAAAGGAGCAAUCCGCUACAAGAUGGACCCGCGGCGCAUUAGCUAGUUGGUGAGGUAACGGCUCACCAAGGCGACGAUGCGUAGCCGACCUGAGAGGGUGAUCGGCCACAUUGGAACUGAGACACGGUCCAGACUCCUACGGGAGGCAGCAGUGGGGAAUAUUGCGCAAUGGGGGGAAACCCUGACGCAGCAACGCCGCGUGAAUGAAGAAGGCCUUAGGGUUGUAAAGUUCUGUUUACGGGGACGAUAAUGACGGUACCCGUGGAGGAAGCCACGGCUAACUACGUGCCAGCCGCCGC
rnacentral:rRNA from 1 species